GCCCACGUAGCUCAGUUGGUAGAGCAAUUCCUUGGUAAGGAAUAGGUCACCGGUUCAAGUCCGGUCGUGGGCU
rnacentral:tRNA from 1 species